CCAAACAGCGCAGAGCAGAGCAGAGGGAGGGAGCAGUAGAGCUGUAGAGGCGCGGAGAGAGAGAGAGACAGAGAGAGAGAGAGAGAGAGACGGGAGCAUGGAGGCGGCGGCGGCGGCGAAGACGAGCGUCGUGUGCGUGACCGGCGCAGGAGGCUUCGUCGCCUCGUGGCUCGUCAAGCUCCUCCUCUCCAACUCCAAGGCCCACUACUCCGUCCGCGGCACCGUGCGCGAUCCCGGUGAUGCCAAGAAUGCUCAUCUCAAGGUGCUAGAAGGUGCUGAAGAAAGGUUGCAGCUGGUCAAGGCUGACCUUUUGGACUACGACAGUGUAGCGGCGGCGAUUGCCGGCUGUGAGGGCGUCUUCCAUGUCGCCUGCCCUGUCCCCUCCGGCCGAUCAACCGACCCAGAGACAGAGAUCAUAGCUCCUGCUGUAACAGGCACACUGAAUGUACUGAAGGCCUGCCACGAGGCAAAAGUUAAGCGAGUAGUCAUGGUGUCUUCCGGUGCUGCAGUGGUCGCUAAUCCUAACUGGCCCAAGGGCAAAGCCUUUGAUGAAGAGAGCUGGUCAGACGAGGACCACUGCAGAAAGAAUGGGGAUUGGUAUUACCUUUCCAAAACACUAGCGGAGCGCGAGGCUUUUGCUUAUGCAGCAAAAACUGGGUUGGACAUUGUAACUAUUUGCCCAUCAUUGGUAAUUGGACCCUUGAUACAGUCUAGAGUAAAUUCGAGCAGUAAAGUUCUCCUUAAUUAUUUGAAAGGAGAACAUGAUACUGUAGAAAAUAAAAGCAGGGAUAUAGUGGAUGUUCGUGAUGUUGCCGAUGCUAUUCUUCUGGCAUAUGAGAAUCCAGAGAUGUCCGGACGGUACAUAUGUAAUUCACCUGCAAUAAGAGUCUCUGAUAUGAUAAAUAUACUGGAGACUUUAUAUCCAACCUACAUAUAUCCCAAAAGCAUUACGGAAGUGGAAGACAAUCUUAUUUAUAGUUCAGAGAAACUUCAGAAGCUAGGGUGGACCUUCAGGCCUGUAGAGAAGACCCUCGGAGACAGUGUCGAAUCCUACAAAGCUUCUGGCAUCCUGAACUGAGCAUCCAAUUGGGACAAGCCUGGCUGUUGAUCCUCGCAAAUUAUUUCUGAUUCAUGUAAGCAGUGAAACAAAAUAAGUUGGUGAGUGGUGACGCAGUCAUGAAGAGAAUCAUGUUAGCACCAAAAACAAAUAAUAAGUACUUGAGAAUUUCUUUUGGGAGUUUGGAAAUCCUUCAAGCAAAGUAGUAGAUUGCUGCACUGUCCUGAUGUUUCUAUGAGUGCCUUGUUGCACAUUAUGCUCAGUUGAUCAACUGCUGGAGCAUGUGAAGAGCCAUACCACAGUCAUGGUUGUAGAACGAGGGGAGCAUAUAUACAGCAUUGCCAACUGAUGCAUCGCAUGUUACCGAGGCUACUGCUGAGGAUAGAAGAUCCUCAUAUGAACUUGCAACCAAUUCAAUACGGAAUGCAUUUACACGUAUUCUUGCAAGUAUAUUGAUGUACCAUUGUUUGGUCAAAACUAAUACUGUCAAAGAAACUUAACCGUGAAAAUGAGGUUGUAAUAAGUCCAGGAAAACCAAAUGAUAAAGGAGGUGAAAGGAUACAAGUUGUGAGUUCUUCCUGAAA